rnacentral:rRNA from 1 species
UUGUAAUUUGGAGAAGGUGUUUCGGAGGAGAUGAUGGUCCAAGUCCCUUGGAACAGGGCGUCACAGAGGGUGAGAAUCCCGUACGUGACCAAUCAUCGAUUCCAUGUGAAACCCUUUCGACGAGUCGAGUUGUUUGGGAAUGCAGCUCUAAAUGGGUGGUAAAUUUCAUCUAAAGCUAAAUACCUGCCAGAGACCGAUAGCGCACAAGUAGAGUGAUCGAAAGAUGAAAAGCACUUUGAAAAGAGAGUCAAACAGUACGUGAAAUUGUUGAAAGGGAAGCGCUUGCAAUUAGACUCGUUUGCAGAAGCUCAGCCUUCCUUCGGGAUGGUGUAUUCUUCUGUCAACGGGCCAGCAUCAGUUUCGGCGGUUGGAUAAAGACUUUGAGAAUGUAGCUCUUCUCGGAGAGUGUUAUAGCUCGGAGUGUAAUGCAGCAGCUGAGACUGAGGUCCGCGCUUUUGCUAGGAUGCUGGCGUAAUGGUUGCU